GACGAACGCUGGCGGCGUGCUUAACACAUGCAAGUCGAACGAAGAGCGAUGGACGCUUGCUUCUAUCAAUCUUAGUGGCGAACGGGUGAGUAACGCGUAAUCAACCUGCCCUUCAGAGGGGGACAACAGUUGGAAACGACUGCUAAUACCGCAUACGAUCUAAUCUCGGCAUCGAGGAUAGAUGAAAGGUGGCCUCUACAUGUAAGCUAUCACUGAAGGAGGGGAUUGCGUCUGAUUAGCUAGUUGGAGGGGUAACGGCCCACCAAGGCGAUGAUCAGUAGCCGGUCUGAGAGGAUGAACGGCCACAUUGGGACUGAGACACGGCCCAGACUCCUACGGGAGGCAGCAGUGGGGAAUCUUCCGCAAUAGACGAAAGUCUGACGGAGCAACGCCGCGUGAGUGAUGACGGCCUUCGGGUUGUAAAGCCCUGUUAAUCGGGACGAAAGGCCUUCUUGCGAAUAGUGAGAAGGAUUGACGGUACCGGAAUAGAAAGCCACGGCUAACUACGUG
rnacentral:rRNA from 1 species